rnacentral:rRNA from 1 species
CGGAACACGUACACAACCUUCCGAUAAGUGGGGAAUAGCCCAGAGAAAUUUGGAUUAAUACCCCGUAACAUAUAGAGUAGGCAUCUCCUUUAUAUUAUAGCUUCGGCGCUUAUUGAUGGGUGUGCGUCUGAUUAGGUAGUUGGCGGGGUAACGGCCCACCAAGCCUACGAUCAGUAGCUGAUGUGAGAGCAUGAUCAGCCACACGGGCACUGAGACACGGGCCCG